UACGUAGGGUGCAAGCGUUUGUCCGGAAUUAUUGGGCGUAAAGAGCUCGUAGGCGGUCUGUCGCGUCGGCUGUGAAAACUUGGGGCUCAACCCCAAGCCUGCAGUCGAUACGGGCAGACUAGAGUCCGGCAGGGGAGACUGGAAUUCCUGGUGUAGCGGUGAAAUGCGCAGAUAUCAGGAGGAACACCGGUGGCGAAGGCGGUUCUCUGGGCAUUACCUGACGCUGAGGAGCGAAAGUGUGGGGAGCGAACAGG
rnacentral:rRNA from 1 species